rnacentral:rRNA from 1 species
CGGCGACGGGUGAGUAACGCGUGGAAAACCUGCCGUAUACUGGGGGAUAACACUUAGAAAUAGGUGCUAAUACCGCAUAAGCGCACAGCUUCGCAUGAAGCGGUGUGAAAAACUCUGGUGGUAUACGAUGGUUCCGCGUCUGAUUAGCUAGUUGGUGGGGUAAUGGCCUACCAAGGCAACGAUCAGUAGCCGGCCUGAGAGGGUGAACGGCCACAUUGGGACUGAGACACGGCCCAAACUCCUACGGAAGGCAGCAG